rnacentral:rRNA from 1 species
AGUGAACGCUGGCGGUAGGCCUAAUACAUGCAAGUCGAACGGCAGCACAGUAAGAGCUUGCUCUUACGGGUGGCGAGUGGCGGACGGGUGAGGAAUACAUCGGAAUCUACUUUUUCGGGGGUGACAACGGAGGGACACUUAUGCUAAUACCGCAUAUGACCUACCGGUGGAAGCAGGGGAUCAUCGGACCUUUCGCGUCUGUUUGAGCCGAUGUCGGAUUAGCUAGUUGGCGGGGUAAAGGCCCACCAAGGCGACGAUCCGUAGCUGGUCUGAGAGGAUGAUCAGCCACACUGGAACUGAGACACGGUCCAGACUCCUACGGGAGGCAGCAGUGGGGAAUAUUGGACAAUGGGCGCAAGCCUGAUCCAGCCAUACCGCGUGGGUGAAGAAGGCCUUCGGGUUGUAAAGCCCUUUUGUUGGGAAAGAAAAGCAGCAGGUUAAUACCCCGCUGUUCUGACGGUACCCAAAGAAUAAGCACCGGCUAACUUCGUG